rnacentral:rRNA from 1 species
CGAACGCUGGCGGCGUGCCUAAUACAUGCAAGUCGAACGCUUCUUUUCCCACCGGAGCUUGCUCCACCGGGAAAAGAGGAGUGGCGAACGGGUGAGUAACACGUGGGUAACCUGCCCAUCAGAAGGGGAUAACACUUGGAAACAGGUGCUAAUACCGUAUAACAAUCGAAACCGCAUGGUUUCGUUUUGAAAGGCGCUUUACGGUGCCGCUGAUGGAUGGACCCGCGGUGCAUUAGCUAGUUGGUGAGGUAACGGCUCACCAAGGCCACGAUGCAUAGCCGACCUGAGAGGGUGAUCGGCCACAUUGGGACUGAGACACGGCCCAAACUCCUACGGGAGGCAGCAGUAGGGAAUCUUCGGCAAUGGACGAAAGUCUGACCGAGCAACGCCGCGUGAGUGAAGAAGGUUUUCGGAUCGUAAAACUCUGUUGUUAGAGAAGAACAAGGGUGAGAGUAACUGUUCACCCCUUGACGGUAUCUAACCAGAAAGCCACGGCUAACUACGUGCCAGCCGCCGCGGUAAUU